rnacentral:rRNA from 1 species
UACGUAGGGGGCUAGCGUUGUCCGGAAUCAUUGGGCGUAAAGAGCGUGUAGGCGGUCCGGUAAGUCCGCUGUGAAAGUCGGGGGCUCAACCCUCGAAUGCCGGUGGAUACUGUCGGGCUAGAGUGCGGAAGAGGCGAGUGGAAUUCCUGGUGUAGCGGUGAAAUGCGCAGAUAUCAGGAGGAACACCUAUUGCGAAGGCAGCUCGCUGGGACGUAACUGACGCUGAGACGCGAAAAGCGUGGGGAGCAAACAGG